rnacentral:tRNA from 1 species
GGCUUGUUAGCUCAGUUGGUAGAGCACUGCACCGGUAUCGCAGCGGUUAUGGGUUCGAAUCCCGUACAGGCCU